CCGCGCGCGGGAAGGGGAAAAAAAAUAAAACCUCGACGGCGACGUCUGAGCGGAAAAGUUGAGGGGGGGGAAUAAUGGGCGCCAUUUUGGUUUUGGUCAGAGACAACGCAAGAUACUAUAUAGGCACAUAUAAAGUAAUGACACCCACAAUAACAAAAUGAUUAAGCAUAAUAAGCAAGUGCUUGCUCACCGCACGCACACAGCCACCAGUUCUGUGUGGCCCAAGAAGUGAGUGGUUAGAGGGGCAGGUCUUUUCAAGCUGGGAGACCUCACUGAGGAUCGGCUGCCAACUUCUCCACCUCAGCGCCUCUUCCUAUGCCAGGUUUGUUUGAUUAAGCUGCUGGAGAACAAAUGGGAAUCCCAGUGGUUAAAGGUUUCUCCACCAGAAUACAAGGCAAUGGUAAGAACAUCAGAAGAGCCUGGCUGCUGGAUGAGGCCAAAAGGGGCCCAUCUAGUCCAGCAUCCUGUUCUCACAGUGGCCAACCAGAUGCCCCAAUGGGAAGCCCACAAGCAGGACCCGAGCGCAGCAGCAGUACUCUCCCUACGUGCGAUUCCUAGCAACUGACGUUCAGAGGCACAUUGCCUCCAGCUGUGGAGGCAGAGCAUCGCCAUCAGGCUCCUAUCAACAUCGCCGGGCUCUUCAGUUCAAGGGAACAAGCUUGGUCCCAUCAUCUUCAGACAACAGCCGGACUUUUUCAUUGACUCCAGAAUCAUCACAGCCUUCUUGGCUGCAAAACUGCCCUACUGCAAUUUCUAGCAAAAGCACAGCUCUGUGAAGAGUGCCCCCGCCCACCGCUUCAUACACACACGGUAGAGAAAGUGACGUCACAUCAAGUGCCCAGGAUGAAUUCAUGCAGCUGCAAUCAGAAACAUGCAUUGUAGGCAUCUAGCAACUGCCUUCCAGACUUCACCGGCUGGAAAUAUCACCCGUUUACCCCUUGGCGAUCAGCGGCAGCACAGGAAAUGUGUGUGAGGCAACGGUCUCAAGGCUUUUACACCUCCAUACCUCCUCCGCUUGCUAAAAUGGUUGGGACACUUGCUCAUCUAACAGGCGACUUACUCCCUCUCUGGCUUCUCAGCGGACCGGUUUGGUAACUGCAACCUUCCCUUGAAGUAGGGCAAACGAGGCUGGCAGGUGCAUCCUUAGUGUAUGAAAUGCAGCCUUUCGACGGAGCUUUGCAUAAUUCAUUGAGAAGGGCAGACUUGUACAGCCGGCUUAAAGGAGGAGGCUGAUCUAGGGAAGAGAUUUGCAAGGAUUUGAAGCCGUUUCGGACCAUUUAGCUCAAGUCUGAAUCGGGUGCUAUUCAGGGCAGAGACUGCAUUUCUGUCCGCUUCUUUUCAUCAUCGUUGUUUGUUUCAAAAUGCCUUCAAAGGAUGACCAGAAACCAGAGCAACAGACAAGGACUUGAGAGGCCUGGGUUCAAAUCCUCACUAACCCAAGAAGCUCUCUGGGUGACCUUGGGUAGGUCACUUUCCCUCCCAGCCUAACCAACCUCACAAGGUUGCUGUGAGGACGAAAGGGGAGAGAGGAAGAACCACCUAAAUAAGAAGCUGCCUUAUACUGAGUCAGAUCAUUGACCCACCUAACUCAGCAUUGUCUACACAGACUGGCAGCAGCUCUCCAGGGUCUUUACCAGCCUAACCUCUAGAUGCCAGGAAUUGAACCCAGAACUGUUCCCAUGCAAAAGCAAGUGCAUUAAUAUUAUUAUUAUUUAGACUUGUUAGUCAUUUGUUACCCAAAGGUUUCCAAGCGACAUACAACACAUUUAAAAACAUAAUGCAAAUACAUUAUACAAUUAGAAAGAAGAAUUUAGACAAGCACCUACAAUUUGUUAACGCAAACCCCCUCUCUGCCCCCCCCCCCAGCCAGACAACUUUGGCAGCACCCUAACAGCAAAAACAUCAUCUCAGCCCAUCAAAAGCCUGGGGGGAAAGGUAUGUCUUUACCUGGUGCCGAAAAGAUGUCAGUGAAGGGGCCAGGCGGACCUCACUGGAGAGUGCAUUCCACAGAUGAGGAGCCACAACUGAAAAGGCCCUCUCCCUUACCGCCCUUGCCCCCCCCCCCGGAAACGGGCCUCAGAAGAUGAUCGAAGGCAGGGCUGGACCAAAGGGUCCAGGGAGGUUCAUGUUGCUGCCCUGAGCUCCUUUGGAAGGAAGGGCAGGAUAGAAGCGGAAAUAAUAAUAAUAUGUAUCACAGCGCUGUGGCUCUUCCCCAGCAGAUACUGCCCUGAGCACCUUAGAUAGUGGGCUACAAAUACAGUACAUGUUUCUGUCUUAUUUGUGGUAAGGUAAACCAGUAUUAUCCUCAUCUUGCAGACAGGACGUAUGUGUGUGUAAGGAGUGUCAACAUCCCUGUACAGAGCUAAAGAGUCGCAGCCAUUACUCUGCCCACAUCCACCUCUAGCCCCACCCACCUUGGCUUCUGGCCAUGAGGGGAUGCAUCCCUCAGGCUGAAAAUCCCCCACCCCUGAGAUAAGAAAGGGAGGAGGAGAGCCACAUUCCAACUCUGAAGCUAGCAAAGACCUAAUCUUGUUUGGCUCAUGAGCUGAACCAAUGCAAGAAAAAAACAGUUUCAUUAUUUUAUUCUGGUUAAUUGCUGCUCUUCAGCCCUGCAUUUCUCUCACACACACACACGCGUUACCGGCAAGACUAGCCCCCUUGCCAGUAAUGCAUAGGGUCAAGGGUUCUUGCUUGCUUCCUUCCUCCGUGUCCACACAGAGUCCUUAUAUGUCAAACAUUAGGUCCCCUAAGCUCACAGGUCAUCCACAGCAGUCAUCUAGUGUAGGCGGAGAAUAGAGGAGACCCCACUCUUGAGUCUUGGGAGGCACCAGAAGUUUUCUAUUUGGGAGUCAGACUUCAAACAGAAGAACAGUCUUUAUAAUAUUUGUUAUUUAUUUAUAUCUUGCACACUACAACUUAUAAAAUGUAUUCUAGGUGGCCUUAGCCAUCAUUGCAGAAACACAUACACAUAUAUAUGCACACACACACACGUAAAUAAAGCACGAAAAAAGUGGCUGGAUAUCCAUUUAACAAAGUAUAGGACUCUGAAGGCACAUCUUAAUUAAAACAAGUUACAAUAGUUGAAGGACUGAGUUAAACUCUAAGUCAUAUCACAGAGCCAAAAUUACAAAAUACUUGGAAAUACAUGUCAAGAUAUAUCACCCAUCAGAUGUCAUGGAUGGAAUAGAUGGUUCUCCUGCUUUCUUCAGCCUCCCGCUCCCGCAGAGCUGAGGGUCCUGGGUGCUAUAAAACCUGGCCUUUUAUACACUUUCUUUUCCAAGGGAAGGCGUGUUCCCGUGGUCUUAUCUACUUUUUGCUACUUCUCAUCAGGCUCUCAUCAGAUACUCCUGGUGAGUCUUUCUUCCUCCACUAGUCAGCUUAACCUCACCAUAUAAGGAUUUCCUCUUGCUUCAUAUUGCCAAAUUACAUGACAUAUUGGCUGUCUGCCCAGACCUGUUAUCUCUAUGUCGGUUCUAGUUGUUUUUCAGGAAAAUUACAGUUU